AACGAACGCUGGCGGCGUGGAUUAGGCAUGCAAGUCGAGCGAGAACCCAGCAAUGGGGGACAGCGGCGAAAGGGACAGUAAUGUGUAGAUUAUCUGCCCUCGGGUCCGGGAUAGCUGCGGGAAACUGCAGGUAAUACCGGAUAACAUCUCCGGAUCAAAGGUGUGAUUCCGCCCGAGGAUGAGUCUGCAUCCUAUUAGCUAGUUGGUAGGGUAAUGGCCUACCAAGGCUUUGAUGGGUAGCAGGUGUGAGAGCACGACCUGCGUCAUUGGGACUGAGACACUGCCCAGACACCUACGAGUGGCUGCAGUCGAGAAUCUUCGGCAAUGGGCGCAAGCCUGACCGAGCGACGCCGCAUGUGGGAUGAAGGCCUUCGGGUUGUAAACCACUGUCAGAGGGGAUGAAAUGCAGGUGGGUUCUCCCAUCUGUUUGACAUAGCCUCAGAGGAAGGACGGGCUAAGUUCGUGCCAGCCGCCGCCGUAACAC
rnacentral:rRNA from 1 species